rnacentral:rRNA from 1 species
UACGAAGGGGGCUAGCGUUGUUCGGAAUCACUGGGCGUAAAGCGCACGUAGGCGGAUCUUUAAGUCAGAGGUGAAAUCCCAAGGCUCAACCUUGGAACUGCCUUUGAUACUGGGGAUCUUGAGUCCGGGAGAGGUGAGUGGAACUGCGAGUGUAGAGGUGAAAUUCGUAGAUAUUCGCAAGAACACCAGUGGCGAAGGCGGCUCACUGGCCCGGUACUGACGCUGAGGUGCGAAAGCUAGGGGAGCAAACGGG